CUCAUUGUUGCUGGGGUAGCAAUAGGAAUUGCAGUGGUUUUGAUUUUGGGAAUGAUCUUCUCAAUAGUGCUGUGCUGUGCAAUCAGGGACAUCCAGGCGUAAAUGGUGUGGGAAAACCCUCGAUCACCAUUUGGCAGGAAGACUCAUUCAAAAGCAGCAGCAAUAUUUGUCAGAUGUUGUAAAUGGUGCCUUUUAUGAUUUUUGCUAUGUGUUUUUAUGUGCUUGGAAGCAAGUGGGCUCUACCUUGACCUACGUUCCAUUUCUGUAUGUGAAAUAAAAAAAAACCUCUCGAUACUGCACGGCAACAGGUUUCAUUGAAUCCACCUGAAUUUAUCUAUAUCACAUAAUUGAUAACAGGAAAUUAGUAAUUACUUUGUAUACACAGGACAACAGAAAGAAUAUUACGGAAAUGACAUAUGUUAUUUGUAUGCAUGGAGAUUAUUAGACAAUGUGUGUAAACGAUUAAAAUAGUCACGUGACUGACAGUCGAUCUUGUGCUUCAUUGGUAGCAGAUGGUCUGAAUUGUAUCAUGACGUUCACACCAUUGGGAAAAAAUCACGAACCAAGAAUAAGAUCAUUAACUGUAUGUCAUUGCUAAAUGAGAGUGCAAUACAAAGAUUAGACUUCGAUGUAUCAUGAGAAUGAAGCAAGAACUCUUACUUCCGGUUUUUUGACUUCCGGUCUAAUUUUUCUCGUUCUACAAUAUCGCUCUAGUUCACAGUGCCUGAUUUUUAUCCCAGAGGCGCCGAAAACGAUGAACAUGAUCUCUCAACCAGUGAAACUUUAAAUAAGCAGUUUUAAACCGUAUGCAUACUUUGUCUUCGGUUAGUGAAUGGUAGAUAAAAUAUAAAUGAAUCUCGUGAAUGUUGUAAAAUUUUGUUAAAUCAUACACAGGUUUUGUCUGUGACAAAUAUGCAUCUUCAAUGUAUGUAUACUAUUUUUUGAUUAUCGUGAUUUAUAAAUAUGAUUGUACACUUGAUGUAAAUUAACUAGUAUUGUAUUUAGUUGUUUUUAUCAACAGUUUUUCUAUUACUUAAAAUUAGUUAGAUUUAUUUGAAAUUUUAGUGUAUAUGCACAUAUGUUAGUUGUUGCUUUUUAUACCUGCUAGUUACCUAGAUAUUUAUCUUUUUUAUGUAUCAUCUACAAAAAAAUAUUGUUCUAAGUUUUUGAGCAAUUUUAUGUUUCCAAAUAUUUUAAAAAAAGGAAAUUUUAAAACAAAUUGAAAGUUCGGUUUUCAGCAAUAUCAUGACAGAAUUUAUAAAAAAAAAUCAAACAACUUUGAAUAAUUAAUUAAAAGGUGGUGAUAUUUUUCUUAAAAUACGAAAAUUAACAGGUGUAGUACUUAAUGUUAUUGCAAGUUUUUAAAUUUAUCUAAGGUAUUGACUGAAGUGAUGGAUGACAAUUUACAAGUCAAACUUUUUUUAACAUUAUUUGGGAUUUUAAUCAUUAAACUAGAAAUGUAU
rnacentral:misc_RNA from 1 species